rnacentral:lncRNA from 1 species
UACAAGAUCGCUGCCAUACCUUCCGUUCUCGUCGCCGGAGUUAUCGGCGUUCUCUUUCCGUUGCUAGGAAACUUCUUUCCGUCGUUAAGACCGGAGACGAACUUCUUCUUCGUGACAAAAGCCUUCGCCGCAGGAGUAAUUUUGGCCACGGGGUUUAUGCACGUGCUGCCUGAAGGCUACGAGAAGCUUACGUCACCUUGUCUGAAAGGAGAAGCUUGGGAGUUUCCGUUCACUGGGUUCAUUGCGAUGGUCGCAGCGAUUUUAACCCUCUCCGUUGACUCUUUUGCCACGUCAUAUUUUCAUAGAUUGCAUAAUAAGACGUCUAAGAAGAUCGGUGACGGUGAAGAGCAAAUCGGUGGCGGUGGUGGUGGAGACGUGCUCGGGUUGCACGUGCAUGCUCAUGGUCACGCGCACGGAAUUGUCGGUGUAGAUUCUGGUGAAUCCGAGGUUCAGCUUCACCGUACUCGAGUUGUGGCCCAGGUAAAUUAAAUAGUUUAAUCAUAUUUUGGUUUUUUAUUUUCGUUAUUGAUGGACGAGGGUUCGAGUUUGGAUUUUUAUAAAACAUGAUUGAUUAUCUUCGUUUAUCUUUUAGUAUAUACAUGAAGAUGAAAAUAUUAAUAAUCCUGUAGCAGAAAAAAAGAAGAUGAAAAUAUUAAUAUAUAAUCUUAAUAUGUAAUCUUUAUGUUAUAUAGUAUGGGUUUUAAAUUUUAAUGCAUAGUUUUUUUUGGGUCCUGGCAUUAAAUGAUUCUCGGAGAAAUUUGACUGCUAGGAUAAAGCCAAAGAGAAAUCAACUCUUACUCUUAAUAUAGGAGAUUGAUUCCAGAAAAUAACUUUUAAUACAGUUUGUACCUUUAAUCUAUUCUAUAUUAGAAUAAAAGUGAAGCCAACCUAAAUGUCGGGAAAGCCUGAAAUUUGAUAAAAGAUAAUAAUAUGGAAUCUUUUCGUGUGUAUGAAACUUAGCAUAAAACAAUGAUAUACAAGGGUCCAUAUGAAGCCACAUGCGUUUGCUUCCCUUUUCCAACUCUUUACGUAAUUCUCGGAUGGAGAUUCCAUAGAUUCCUAGCUUUUUUUUUAUGUCUCAUGUAGCUGGGUUUGUUUUUAGGUAAAAGUGAAGCUAAUUACUAUUAUUAUCUACAAAAAAAAUACAAUAGGUGUUGGAGGUGGGAAUAAUCGUACACUCAGUGGUAAUAGGAAUAUCACUGGGAGCAUCACAAAGUCCAGACACUGCCAAAGCUCUCUUUGCUGCUUUAAUGUUUCAUCAAUGCUUCGAAGGUCUUGGCCUUGGUGGUUGCAUCGCUCAGGUACCUAUACUCUUCCUUCGUUUUUUCUUCUCCAUAAUUUGUUUUCUUUCUAGUUAAAACAUGCAUUAAGAUCAGUAUACCGUAAAGUGUAUAAUAUUCUUUACGGGUUAAUUAAGCUCUACAGUAAAGUGUAUAAUAUUAGAAAAGGUAUAAUCAGGGCCGGCUGAGGAGGGGGACAAGCAGUGCCGACCGCUCCGGAUCUAAACCGUGUCUCCCGUAUAUUAAUAGUCAAGGGAUUUAAUUUUAUAAAAAAAAUUAUAUUUUUAUAUAAAAUAUUAUAAAUAAAAUUGAAAAGAGUCCAAAAAUAUUUGAUAUACAUGUAGAUUUCCGUCGUUAAGACCGGAGACGAACUUCUUCUUCGUGACAAAAGCCUUCGCCGCAGGAGUAAUUUUGGCCACGGGGUUUAUGCACGUGCUGCCUGAAGGCUACGAGAAGCUUACGUCACCUUGUCUGAAAGGAGAAGCUUGGGAGUUUCCGUUCACUGGGUUCAUUGCGAUGGUCGCAGCGAUUUUAACCCUCUCCGUUGACUCUUUUGCCACGUCAUAUUUUCAUAGAUUGCAUAAUAAGACGUCUAAGAAGAUCGGUGACGGUGAAGAGCAAAUCGGUGGCGGUGGUGGUGGAGACGUGCUCGGGUUGCACGUGCAUGCUCAUGGUCACGCGCACGGAAUUGUCGGUGUAGAUUCUGGUGAAUCCGAGGUUCAGCUUCACCGUACUCGAGUUGUGGCCCAGGUAAAUUAAAUAGUUUAAUCAUAUUUUGGUUUUUUAUUUUCGUUAUUGAUGGACGAGGGUUCGAGUUUGGAUUUUUAUAAAACAUGAUUGAUUAUCUUCGUUUAUCUUUUAGUAUAUACAUGAAGAUGAAAAUAUUAAUAAUCCUGUAGCAGAAAAAAAG